GCGCGGGGCAACCUGGCGGCGAGUGGCGAACGGGUGAGUAAUAUAUCGGAACGUACCCUGGAGUGGGGGAUAACGUAGCGAAAGUUACGCUAAUACCGCAUACGAUCUAAGGAUGAAAGUGGGGGCUUCGCAAGAACCUCAUGCUCCUGGAGCGGCCGAUAUCUGAUUAGCUAGUUGGUAGGGUAAAAGCCUACCAAGGCUUCGAUCAGUAGCUGGUCUGAGAGGACGACCAGCCACACUGGAACUGAGACACGGUCCAGACUCCUACGGGAGGCAGCAGUGGGGAAUUUUGGACAAUGGGCGCAAGCCUGAUCCAGCAAUGCCGCGUGAGUGAAGAAGGCCUUCGGGUUGUAAAGCUCUUUUGUCAGGGAAGAAACGGUGAGGGCUAAUAUCCNUUGCUAAUGACGGUACCUGAAGAAUAAGCACCGGCUAACUACGUGCCAGCAGCCGCGGUAAUACGUAGGGUGCAAGCGUUAAUCGGAAUUACUGGGCGUAAAGCGUGCGCAGGCGGUUUUGUAAGUUUGUCGUGAAAGCCCCGGGCUCAACCUGGGAAUUGCGAUGAAGACUGCAAGGCUUGAAUCUGGCAGAGGGGGGUAGAAUUCCACGUGUAGCAGUGAAAUGCGUAGAGAUGUGGAGGAACACCGAUGGCGAAGGCAGCCCCCUGGGUCAAGAUUGACGCUCAUGCACGAAAGCGUGGGGAGCAAACA
rnacentral:rRNA from 1 species